AGUAACGCGUGAGUAACCUGCCUCUAAGAGGGGAAUAACAUUCUGAAAAGAAUGCUAAUACCGCAUAACAUAUAUUUAUCGCAUGGUAGAUAUAUCAAAGAUUUAUCGCUUAGAGAUGGACUCGCGUCCGAUUAGUUAGUUGGUGAGGUAACGGCCCACCAAGGCGACGAUCAGUAGCCGGACUGAGAGGUUGACCGGCCACAUUGGGACUGAGAUACGGCCCAG
rnacentral:rRNA from 1 species